rnacentral:rRNA from 1 species
CAGCUCUCCGAGUGGUAGGGAUGAUUAUUGGGCUUAAAGCGUCCGUAGCCGGCUUAGCAAGUCUCCUGUUAAAUUCAGCGACCUAAUCGUUGAGCCGCGGGAGAUACUACUAGGCUAGGAGGCGGGAGAGGUCGACGGUACUUCUGGGGUAGGGGUGAAAUCCUAUAAUCCCAGGAGGACCACCAGUGGCGAAGGCUGUCGACUAGAACGCGCUCGACGGUGAGGGACGAAAGCUGGGGGAGCGAACCGGAUUAGAGACCCGAGUAGCC